rnacentral:rRNA from 1 species
GGAGACUAACUACGGAUAAUAUAUUGAACCGCAUGGUUCAAUAGUGAAAGACGGUUUUGCUGUCACUUAUAGAUGGAUCCGCGCCGCAUUAGCUAGUUGGUAAGGUAACGGCUUACCAAGGCAGCGAUGCGUAGCCGACCUGAGAGGGUGAUCGGCCACACUGGAACUGAGCACGGUCCAGACUCCUACGGGAGGCAGCAGC